CUACGGGGCGCAGCAGUGGGGGAUAUUGCACAAUGGGCGAAAGCCUGAUGCAGCAACGCCGCGUGAAGGAUGACGGAUUUCGGUCUGUAAACUUCUAUCAGCAGGGAAGAAAAUGACGGUACCUGACUAAGAAGCCCCGGCUAACUAUGCGUGCCAGCAGCCGCGGUAAUACGUAGGGGGCAAGCGUUAUCCGGAAUUACUGGGUGUAAAGGGUACGUAGGCGGCUGAUCAAGUCAGAUGUGAAAGCCCGGAGCUCAACUCCGGGAUUGCAUUUGAAACUGGUCGGCUAGAGUGCAGGAGAGGAAAGUGGAAUUCCUAGUGUAGCGGUGAAAUGCGUAGAUAUUAGGAAGAACACCAGUGGCGAAGGCGGCUUUCUGGACUGUAACUGACGCUGAGGUACGAAAGCGUGGGGAGCGAACAGGAUUAGAUACCCGCGUAGUC
rnacentral:rRNA from 1 species